UACGUAGGGUGCGAGCGUUGUCCGGAAUUAUUGGGUGUAAAGAGCUCGUAGGCGGUCUGUUGCGUCGGCUGUGAAAACCCGGGGCUCAACUCCGGGCCUGCAGCCGAUACGGGCAGACUAGAGUUCGGCAGGGGAGACUGGAAUUCCUGGUGUAGCGGUGAAAUGCGCAGAUAUCAGGAGGAACACCGGUGGCGAAGGCGGUUCUCUGGGCCGAUACUGACGCUGAGGAGCGAAAGCGUGGGGAGCGAACAGG
rnacentral:rRNA from 1 species